rnacentral:rRNA from 1 species
CCUACGGGGGGCAGCAGUCGAGAAUCAUUCACAAUGGGGGAAACCCUGAUGGUGCGACGCCGCGUGGGGGAAUGAAGGUCUUCGGAUUGUAAACCCCUGUCAUGUGGGAGCAAAUUAAAAAGAUAGUACCACAAGAGGAAGAGACGGCUAACUCUGUGCCAGCAGCCGCGGUAAUACAGAGGUCUCAAGCGUUGUUCGGAAUCACUGGGCGUAAAGCGUGCGUAGGCUGUUUCGUAAGUCGUGUGUGAAAGUCGCGGGCCCAACCCGGGGACGGCACCUGAUACUGCGAGACUAGAGUAAUGGAGGGGGAACCGGAAGUCUCGGUGUAGCAGUGAAAUGCGUAGAUAGCGAGAGGAACACUCGUGGCGAAGGCGGGUUCCUGGACAUUAACUGACGCUGAGGCACGAAGGCCAGGGGAGCGAAAGGGAUUAGAUACCCCGGUAGUC